UCAUGGGGCGGACCUUCACUUUUCCGUGAGGCAGUCAGUGUUUCUUUCCCAUCAGGGUACCAUUUGGCACGUGUCAGCAGUGAAAACCUUGGUCAACAGAACCAAGCUAAAGAGGCUAAUGAUCUUCAGAGGACUUGUGCCUGAGAAAAUUUGGCAAAAGCUGUCUGUCGCUGAAGUCUCUUAGGAUGGAUGUCAGUGACCUAAUGUAUGGCAUGUUGAGCUUUCUCUCCCAUGGCACAGGGUUUGAUGUCAGCAGCUUCUGGGCAAUUUCAAUCAAUGAGCGCAAAUAAUGGAAAAAUUAAAGUAAAAAAAAAAAAUGGAGAUUUGGCCCCAGGAAUACAUACAGAGAAAUAGGUUAACAUUAUGUUGCUAAACUUCAACAUGUCCUUUGAUUAAGCUUUCAGAGGAUGAUGUAAAAUGGACCACAAAGGCACAUUUCAAGUGAACCCCAUGCAAGAUUAUUAUAUUCAGAUUUCCACGAAGCUGUGGCUGGGCAUUUUUUAUUGCUUGUGUCUUCUUGCUGGAAAUAAAAGAACUUGAGAUUUUGUCCUCACUCUUUGUAUAUCUUCUCUAAUGGGAGGGAAAAGCAACCUUUGGCAUAUAC